rnacentral:rRNA from 1 species
GGGGGACGGCACUUGCUCUGUGGGACAGUGGCGAACGGGUGAGUAACACGUGAGCAACCUGCCCCUGACUCUGGGAUAAGCGCUGGAAACGGCGUCUAAUACUGGAUAUGUGACGUGACCGCAUGGUCUGCGUCUGGAAAGAAUUUCGGUUGGGGAUGGGCUCGCGGCCUAUCAGCUUGUUGGUGAGGUAAUGGCUCACCAAGGCGUCGACGGGUAGCCGGCCUGAGAGGGUGACCGGCCACACUGGGACUGAGACACGGCCCAGACUCCUACGGGAGGCAGCAGUGGGGAAUAUUGCACAAUGGGCGCAAGCCUGAUGCAGCAACGCCGCGUGAGGGACGACGGCCUUCGGGUUGUAAACCUCUUUUAGCAGGGAAGAAGCGAAAGUGACGGUACCUGCAGAAAAAGCGCCGGCUAACUACGUGCCAGCAGCCGCGGUAAUACGUAGGGCGCAAGCGUUAUCCGGAAUUAUUGGGCGUAAAGAGCUCGUAGGCGGUUUGUCGCGUCUGCUGUGAAAUCCGGAGGCUCAACCUCCGGCCUGCAGUGGGUACGGGCAGACUAGAGUGCGGUAGGGGAGAUUGGAAUUCCUGGUGUAGCGGUGGAAUGCGCAGAUAUCAGGAGGAACACCGAUGGCGAAGGCAGAUCUCUGGGCCGUAACUGACGCUGAGGAGCGAAAGGGUGGGGAGCAAACAGGCUUAGAUACCCUGGUAGUCCACCCCGUAAACGUUGGGAACUAGUUGUGGGGUCCAUUCCACGGAUUCCGUGACGCAGCUAACGCAUUAAGUUCCCCGCCUGGGGAGUACGGCCGCAAGGCUAAAACUCAAAGGAAUUGACGGGGACCCGCACAAGCGGCGGAGCAUGCGGAUUAAUUCGAUGCAACGCGAAGAACCUUACCAAGGCUUGACAUAUACGAGAACGGGCCAGAAAUGGUCAACUCUUUGGACACUCGUAAACAGGUGGUGCAUGGUUGUCGUCAGCUCGUGUCGUGAGAUGUUGGGUU